UGUAGAAGACUGCUAGCUACUUUGGGACAAUUUGCAAUGAUGGCCUGAGCCAAGUACCUCAUUUGAAGGGAUAACCUUCCGCUUUAAGGAACAUAAUGCUGAAGAAGCUAUGGCAGCUACUUAAAAUUCUGAAGGAGAAUAAGUUCUUCAAUUCAAGAUGUCUGAAUUACUGUGAAUGGGCCCAACCAAUCCUUGAUGACACUGAGAAUGCUUUGGGGCAUACAUACUUUCAAAACAGAAUCCAAUAUCCAAAAGAAAUGGAGCUCCAUGUUGUGCCAAAGUCAAACUGCUGCAGUCGGGGGCGGUUCUGCAAUGUAAAUAGAGCGCUAAUUAAAACAAACAGACUGUAAAAGUGAAAUUUUAUUCUGACAGGAUGCAAACCUUGUGAAUCUUUGACUUUCUAAGGGGUUAAUGACCACUAGAGCUUGUCCUCACCUCGACUCCAGCAUACAGCUCUGUAAGACAGGCUGUAUUACCUGUAUUCUUUGACAUGUGAUUAAGCUUACAGCUUUGAGUGACCAAACAUUUUACAGAGUAAAAGUUGUUAGAAAUGGGAGAGGAGAACCAAACCCUACUUUCUGUGUCUUAUUUUUCAGGCCCUCACCAAAUUAAAAGUUGUACAUGGGCUUACACAGUUUGCAGUGUAAAAGCAGCCUGUGCCUGUUAUGUUAGGACAGAAAGACCUGUGGCUUGCUGGCCUUUAUGACGAGACCCUCCACUGAACACUCAUAUAAACCAGUUUCUACUUGUGCACUUGUGGGGCUUCUCUUUGUCAGAAUCCGAUUUGCUUUUUACUAAGCUGAAGAUACUACCCCAGCAGGAGAAGGAACUCAGUAGGGAACACUCUAAACAUGUUCCAAACAUGUGAGAGUCCAUAGUGAAAUACAUGUGGUGUGUUCUCACCGGCGUGGGACUCAGGAAGGCCAGACAGUCUCAGGUUGGAUUUUGCAGGAAUUACCUUUUCAUGAAGUUGUACCUUAUGUAACAAUUUCAGUGAACAGAGGGGAAAAAAAAUUGGAACCUAGCAAGUUAAAAAUUUCCUUUUGAUGUAAGAAUCAGGGCGUGUUAGCGGUAACUGUGCUGCAGCAGAAGACAGAGUUCCUACUGACUUGUAACAGACUGGUGCUGACGUUCGUGCUGGGAAGGACCCUUUCUGUUGUGAUCAUAGGACCACUUUUCAAACUGUGCUUUCCUCACAGAACAAAAUUUUUAGUUUUAUUAGAUUUGGAUUUAAAAUUUUUUUGAAUGAUCACACAUAGUGGGUUUGGCCAGUUCAUCUUUUUCUAACUUAAUGAAUAAUAAAUACUAAGCUCUUGGUUUAAUGUUUGUCAGCUAAUGAGAGAUGUUAUGAAAAAGCCUUGAAUAUGCAUGCUGCUUUCAUUUUUAUAAACUUUUUAUUUUUUAACUAUAGCUUUAUUAGCAAUUCCCAAAUGCUGCAAUUUGCUGAUUUCUUCACUCAGACAGCUGGCUUUGUGGGCGGCUUUUUCAUACUACUGUUAACUUUUUGAAAACGAAGUGAUGUAAAGACUGUAACAAUUGAAUGCACUAAGCUGUUUUUCUUUUACACAUUUAAAAACUUCUUAAAGUACUCUGUAUUAUAAUGAUUAAAUUGCUCCCUUUUUAAAACCAUUGCUAAUGUGGUCUGAGUUUUAUUUGACAGUAAUUUUAAUGUUCUCAAGAUCCAAUCCUUGAAAUGUCAAGGAUUGGAGAUGAAGGAUUUGAAUAUAUUUACAUUACGUUUCUUUUGUGCUAUGCUAACUUUGUAUAGCUGCAAAUAACUUCGUGAUUUUCCCAUCUCUCUGGUAGGCUGGGUGAAAGUCUGCUCUGAUGUUUGCUAGCUUUUAAAUAAAUUUAUUUGACAGUGCGAAAGAGCCUUUUUUCCUGGUUGACUAUGUCUUUGAAUACAAAAUAAAAGUUAGCAAUAAUG
rnacentral:lncRNA from 1 species